rnacentral:rRNA from 1 species
GGAUACCUACGGGGCGCAGCAGUGGGGAAUAUUGCACAAUGGGGGGAACCCUGAUGCAGCAAUGCCGCGUGGGUGAAGAAGCACUCCGGUGCGUAAAGCCCUGUCAGCAGGGACGAAAAUGACAGUACCUGACCAGGAAGCCCCGGCUAACUACGUGCCAGCAGCCGCGGUAAUACGUAGGGGGCAAGCGUUAUCCGGAUUUACUGGGUGUAAAGGGAGCGCAGGCGGCGUGGCAAGUCAGAUGUGAAAACCCGGGGCCCAACCCCGG